AGUGAACGCUGGCGGUAGGCCUAACACAUGCAAGUCGAACGGCAGCACAGUAAGAGCUUGCUCUUACGGGUGGCGAGUGGCGGACGGGGGAGGAAUACAUCGGAAUCUACUUUUUCGUGGGGGAUAACGUAGGGAAACUUACGCUAAUACCGCAUACGACCUACGGGUGAAAGCAGGGGAUCUUCGGACCUUGCGCGAUUGAAUGAGCCGAUGUCGGAUUAGCUAGUUGGCGGGGUAAAGGCCCACCAAGGCGACGAUCCGUAGCUGGUCUGAGAGGAUGAGCAGCCACACUGGAACUGAGACACGGUCCAGACUCCUAAGGGAGGCAGCAGUGGGGAAUAUUGGACAAUGGGCGCAAGCCUGAUCCAGCCAUACCGCGUGGGUGAAGAAGGCCUUCGGGUUGUAAAGCUCUUUUGUUGGGAAAGAAAAGCAGCAGGUUAAUACCCCGCUGUGCUGACGGUACCCAAAGAAUAAGCACCGGCUAACUUCGUG
rnacentral:rRNA from 1 species